AACCUUAUGGACCUGCGGGCGUAUACCUGCGGAAGGAUCAUUACCGAGUUUACAAACUCCCAACCCUUUGUGAACCUUACCAUAUUGUUGCUUCGGCGGGACCGCCCCGGCGCCUUCGGGCCCGGAACCAGGCGCCCGCCGGAGGCCCCAAACUCUUAUGUCUUUAGUGGUUUUCUCCUCUGAGUGACACAUAAACAAAUAAAUAAAAACUUUUAACAACGGAUCUCAGAUCGGAAGAGC
rnacentral:misc_RNA from 1 species